CCUACGGGGGGCAGCAGUGAGGAAUAUUGGUCAAUGGGCGCGAGCCGGAACCAGCCAAGUAGCGUGAAGGAUGACGGCCCUAUGGGUUGUAAACUUCUGUUAUAUGGGAAUAAAGUGCAGUAGGUAUACUGCUUUGCAUGUACCUUAUGAAUAAGGAUCGGCUAACUCCGUGCCAGCAGCCGCGGUAAUACGGAGGAUCCGAGCGUUAGCCGGAUUUAUUGGGUUUAAAGGGAGCGUAGGCGGGUUGUUAAGUCAGUUGUGAAAGUUUUCGGCUCAACCGUAAAAUUGCCGUUGAUACUGGCAUCCUUGUGUACAGUAGAGGUAGGCGGCAUUCGUGGUGUAGCGGU
rnacentral:rRNA from 1 species